rnacentral:tRNA from 1 species
ACCAAGAUGGCCGAGUGGUUAAGGCGAUGGUUUGUAUGUAUUUUGUCGCGCGCCCACUUCAGAAUUGUUUACUGACCCACGCACAGUAAGUUUCGCAGCUUGAUCACCAUUAUCGAGAGAUUCCUGGGUUCGAACCCCAGUCUUGGUA